AUUGAACGCUGGCGGCAUGCCUUACACAUGCAAGUCGAACGGCAGCACGGGUGCUUGCACCUGGUGGCGAGUGGCGAACGGGUGAGUAAUAUAUCGGAACGUACCUUAUUGUGGGGGAUAACGCAGCGAAAGCUGUGCUAACACCGCAUAAUCCCUUAGGGGGAAAGCGGGGGACCGUAAGGCCUCGCGCAAUUAGAGCGGCCGAUACCUGAUUAGCUAGUUGGUGAGGUAAAGGCUCACCAAGGCGACGAUCAGUAGCUGGUCUGAGAGGACGAUCAGCCACACUGGGACUGAGACACGGCCCAGACCCCUACGGGAGGCAGCAGUGGGGAAUUUUGGACAAUGGGGGCAACCCUGAUCCAGCAAUGCCGCGUGAGUGAAGAAGGCCUUCGGGUUGUAAAGCUCUUUUGUCAGGGAAGAAACAGCAGCUCUAACACAGUAUGCGAAUGACGGUACCUGAAGAAUAAGCACCGGCUAACUACGUGCCAGCCGCCGCCGUAA
rnacentral:rRNA from 1 species